rnacentral:lncRNA from 1 species
CCCUUGAACAUCUUCCCUAUUCUGCCUGACAGUAAUAGGUGCCUGGCGUAUGGUCCCCAGGAGAGAAAAGGAGAAAGAAAAGGAGCCAUUACCUUGAAAAUCCCCCCAUUGGGGUUCCUGUAGCAAGGGAUGAUGGGGGCAUCCCUUGAACAUCUUCCCUAUUCUGCCUGGCAGGAAUAGGUGCCUGGUGUAUGGUCCCAGAGAAAGGGAGCCAUUACCUUGAAAAUCCCCCCAAUGGAGUUCCUGUAGCAAGGGAUGAUGGGGGCAUCCCUUGAACAUCUUCCCUAUUCUGCCUGACAGUAAUAGGUGCCUGGCGUAUGGUCCCAGAGAAAGGGAGCCAUUACCUUGAAAAUCCCCCCAUUGGGGUUCCUGUAGCAAGGGAUGAUGGGGGCAUCCCUUGAACAUCUUCCCUAUUCUGCCUGGCAGGAAUAGGUGCCUGGCGUAUGGUCCCAGAGAAAGGGAGCCAUUACCUUGAAAAUCCCCCCAAUGGGGUUCCUGUAGCAAGGGAUGAUGGGGGCAUCCCUUGAACAUCUUCCCUAUUCUGCCUGACAGUAAUAGGUGCCUGGCGUAUGGUCCCAGAGAAAGGGAGCCAUUACCUUGAAAAUCCCCCCAAUGGAGUUCCUGUAGCAAGGGAUGAUGGGGGCAUCCCUUGAACAUCUUCCCUAUUCUGCCUGACAGUAAUAGGUGCCUGGCGUAUGGUCCCCAGGAGAGAAAAGGACAAAGACAGUGAGAAAGAGAAAGACAGUGAGGAAUUUUCCGCCAGUCUGGGGGACAUUCUACCCAAUUGCAUCCUGGAGCCAUUCUCCCAAGAAGGGGUUCCCAUACUCCACCAAAGGUUAGAGUUUGGUACUUCCCUUGAACUGGAGUCCCGAGUGGGACUUUCCUCGCAGUUCAGAGCGUGGUCAGGUGCCAGAGGGAGGGAUCCCAAUCCAGCCUUAGGAAAAGAAACCUUCCACGGGAGUCUUGGAGAUUGGCGGCCGUCCUAAUGACUUAAGUGGCCGACCCGCGCCCACGUAAAAUUUGUCUAUUAGAGAUAGAGUCAGGAAGGAAUGGAUUAAUUCAUUCUCCAUCACCCUGAGGCUUAAGGUACUGAAUCUCUUCAAGCUGAAUGCCACAAUUUGCCCCAUAGAGUAGCCAUGGGCAGCAAACGUGGAUUCAUACAACCAUCCAAGAAAGUUCCCGAUGGAGCAGUGAAUCUAGAUCCAUCCUUGAAAAAGAGAAAGGCAUAAGGAAGAAAAGGGCACUUACCAGAACUCGAGCUCACAAGCCGAUGAAGCAAGUCCCCGUACGGGC